rnacentral:rRNA from 1 species
UACGUAGGGGGCAAGCGUUGUCCGGAAUUACUGGGCGUAAAGCGCGCGCAGGCGGCUUCCCAAGCGCCACGUGAAAGCCCCGGGCUCAACCCGGGAGGGUCGCGGCGAACUGGGAGGCUUGAGGCCGGUAGAGGUGGGUGGAACUCCUGGUGGAGUGGUGAAAUGCGUAGAGAUCAGGAAGAACACCCGUGGCGAAGGCGGCCCACUGGGCCGGUGCUGACGCUGAGGCGCGAAGGCGUGGGGAGCGAACGGG